rnacentral:rRNA from 1 species
AACGAACGCUGGCGGCAUGCCUAACACAUGCAAGUCGAACGAGACUUCCGGGUCUAGUGGCGCACGGGUGCGUAACGCGUGGGAACCUGCCCUUAGGUUCGGCAUAACUCCCCGAAUGGGGUGCCUAUAACGGACAAUGUCUUCGGACCAAUGAUUUAUCGCCUUUGGUUGGGCCCGCGUUGGAUUAGCUAGUUGGUAGGGUAAAAGCCUACCAAGGCGACGAUCCAUAGCUGGUCUGAGAGGAUGAUCACCCACACUGGGGGUGCGACACGGCCCAGAAUCCUACGGGAGGCAGCAGUGGGGAAUAUUGGACAAGGGGCGAAAGCCUGAUCCAGCAAUGCCGCGUGAAUGAUGAAGGCCUUAGGGUUGUAAAGCUCUUUUACCCGGGAUGAUAAUGACAGUACCGGGAGAAUAAGCUCCGGCUAACUCCGUG